rnacentral:rRNA from 1 species
UACGUAGGGUGCGAGCGUUGUCCGGAAUUACUGGGCGUAAAGAGCUCGUAGGUGGUUUGUCGCGUUGUCCGUGAAAACUCACAACUCAAUUGUGGGCGUGCGGGCGAUACGGGCAGACUGGAGUACUGCAGGGGAGACUGGAAUUCCUGGUGUAGCGGUGGAAUGCGCAGAUAUCAGGAGGAACACCGGUGGCGAAGGCGGGUC